rnacentral:misc_RNA from 1 species
AAAUCUCAAAUCCCGGUCCGGGGGUUUGGACUUUGGGAGUCUGCCGGCGACCCGACCUCGGGACGUCGGCUCUCCUCAAAUGCAUUAGCGGUGGGCGCGAGCCUUUGCACGGCACGGCCUGUUUUCGACGUCGUAGUGAUCGUCGCGGGCUGGAAGUGCUCGGAUCGACAUGUCUCAUGCUUCCAAGCUAGUAUAAAUGAUUAAG